GCAUGGUCAAUAAAAGAGAGCUCACAGAAGAUGGACUUGAAAAAAACUUUGCUGCCAAUACUCUGGGUGUGUACAUUCUCACGACCGGCCUGAUCCCUGUGCUGGAGAAAGAACACGACCCCCGAGUGCAGAAGGGACUUGGCAGCUGCAGUUCAGUUCAGGGCCUUGGGAUGAGAAGCGUGUCCUGGAGUAUCCAGAUAACCGUCUCCUCAGGAGGAAUGUUGGCUCAGAAACUGAGCACCAAUGAUCUCCAGUCCGAAAGAACACCAUUUGAUGGAACUAUGGUCUAUGCACAAAACAAGAGGCAGCAAGUGGUUCUGACGGAGCGGUGGGCCCAAGGGCACCUGGCCAUCCAUUUUUCUUCCAUGCAUCCUGGCUGGGCCGACACCCCAG
rnacentral:sRNA from 1 species